GGGGCUGUAGCUCAGCCUGGGAGAGCGCACGGCUGAAGACCGUGGUGUCGCGUGUUCAAAUCACGCCAGCCCCA
rnacentral:tRNA from 1 species